GACGAACGCUGGCGGCGUGCUUAACACAUGCAAGUCGAACGGAAAGGCCCUGCUUUUGUGGGGUGCUCGAGUGGCGAACGGGUGAGUAACACGUGAGUAACCUGCCCUUGACUUUGGGAUAACUUCAGGAAACUGGGGCUAAUACCGGAUAGGAGCUCCUGCUGCAUGGUGGGGGUUGGAAAGUUUCGGCGGUUGGGGAUGGACUCGCGGCUUAUCAGCUUGUUGGUGGGGUAGUGGCUUACCAAGGCUUUGACGGGUAGCCGGCCUGAGAGGGUGACCGGCCACAUUGGGACUGAGAUACGGCCCAGACUCCUACGGGAGGCAGCAGUGGGGAAUAUUGCACAAUGGGCGGAAGCCUGAUGCAGCAACGCCGCGUGCGGGAUGACGGCCUUCGGGUUGUAAACCGAUUUCGCCUGUGACGAAGCGUGAGUGAAGGUAAUGGGUAAAGAAGCACCGGCUAACUACGU
rnacentral:rRNA from 1 species